ACUCACCCCAAAUUCAUUCCUUCACUUUGUUUCCAAAUAAAAUGUAGUAAUUUCCCUCUCAAUUCCUUCCUUUCAACAAACCCUAAUUAAUUAAAAUCCCAUUAAUACCUCCCUUCUAAUUAACUAAUUAAUUAAUUAGGGUUUUUAUAAUCUCACAAUUUAUAAUUCAUUCAUGCAACAACAAAAUUAAAAAAAAAAUAUUAGUAAAAUACUCGGGGAAUGAUUGAUAGAAGAUACAGGCAGAAGAAUAAGAAUAAUAAUAAGAAUAAUGGGUCGAGGAGAAGUGACAUCAUCGGAGAUGGAAACGACGUCGUCGUUAGUGGUGAAGAAAAAAGCGAGAAGUUGGAUAUUAAUAGAUACAAAUGUGAAUGAAAGUGUGAUGGAUAUAGAUAAGUAUGCGAUUAUGCAUAGAGUUCAGAUUCAUGCGCGUGAUCUCAGAAUUCUCGAUCCUCUUCUUUCGUAUCCUUCUACUAUUUUAGGCCGUGACCGUGCUAUCGUUCUCAAUCUCGAACAUAUCAAGGCUAUUAUCACUGCCGAAGAGGUCUUGCUUCGGGAUCCUUCAGAUGAUAAUGUAAUACCAGUUGUUGAAGAGCUAAGGAGGAGAUUGCCUGUUACAAAUUCUAAUCAUGGAGAAUUGGGUGGCCAGAAUGAUGAUGCUGGCGAAGAAGAUGAGUCUCCAUUUGAAUUUCGAGCAUUAGAGGUUUUCCUAGAGGCCAUCUGCAGCUUUCAUGCGGCGCGUACUACAGAACUAGAAACUGAUGCUUACCCAGCGUUGGACGAGCUUACGUCUAAGAUAAGUAGUCGUAACUUGGACCGGGUUCGUAAACUGAAAAGUGCAAUGACAAGGUUGACUGCUCGUGUACAAAAGGUUAGGGAUGAACUUGAACGACUUUUGGACGACGACGAUGAUAUGGCAGAUCUUUACUUAUCACGGAAGCUAUCUUCGGCCUCACCAGUAAGUGGGUCUGGUGCUGCUAGUUGGUUUCUUGGGUCACCUACUAUUGGUUCAAAGAUUUCUAGAGCUAGCAGGGCUAGUGUGAUGACGGUUCAUGGAGAUGAGAAUGAUGUUGAAGAGCUUGAGAUGCUUCUGGAGGCCUACUUCAUGCAGAUUGAUGGAACGUUAAACAAGUUAACUAGUCUACGUGAAUAUAUUGAUGAUACCGAAGAUUACAUCAACAUCCAGCUUGACAAUCAUAGAAAUCAGCUAAUUCAGCUGGAGCUCUUUUUAAGUUCAGGAACCGUAUGCAUGUCAAUCUAUGCAUUGGUGACUGGGAUAUUUGGGAUGAAUAUACCUUAUACAUGGAACGAUGAUCAUGGCUACAUGUUCAAAUGGGUGGUGAUCGUGUCUGGUGUUUUUUCUGCAGUCCUUUUUCUUCUCAUUGUUUCCUAUGCUCGUUUUAAAGGGCUCGUUGGAUCUUGAAAACGAAUUAGGAAGUCGCUGAAGUCAUAUGGAAUACUAAUUUGUAACUCCUGCAGAUCCUUUUUUCAGGUUAUGGUGUUCUUGUUGUACAUACUUUUGCUCCAAGAUGGCUUGUAGUCCUUGUACAAUCGUGUAUUUUGUAAAGAUAUGUGUUGUUGGCUGGUAAAAUCGACAAAGGACUUGGCAGGUCUGAAGCUAAAUACCCCAUAGAAGUUUGAGAUAAACUUAGAUGGCCAAGGAUUGGAUGCUAUUAUAACAGUGUGAAUGCAAAUAGAUCAAUCUUGUGGCAUGCCCUAUAACUACAGCAUUUUUAGGUUGAUGGGAAGUUUCUGCUGUGGCAAAUUUGCUUCAAAUUAAGCGGGUUCAAUUACAGAGAACAUAUUCGUCUUGUGCAUGGUUUUAACUGAUUUGAUCAAGGGCAAGGUAGUGACUAAUCUUGGUUUCUUACAAGUUCUGUUUAGGCAUCAUUUUUUUGUUUUCCUUCUCAUAGUUAUAGGCUAAGAAAGAUUACACAUAAUACCUCACAAAUGUAUGGAAGUAGUGAAAUCAAGGUGGUGUCGGUACUACUAGUUAAUACAAUAAGGUUCUGUUAAUCGUAAUGAUGACAAUGACUUAAAUUAGUAGAAAAUAGCAUGUAAUUACAGUUGACUUGGAA